AGUUCACUUGUUGACAGUUGACGUGCAGUAGCCGUCUCAGUUUUGGAUUUCGUUACAAAGGUCUUGUAUUUUUUUUUGCCUCUCCUAGGAUUAAGUUCAUACCGUAACAAAAUUAACUGUUACUAUUGAAGGCUAAUUAAAAACUGACCGGAGCCCGUCGCUGGAAGCACCGGAGGACAGAGACACAAAGUAAACACGCCUCUCUGACCGGUACCGGGGGGUUAGUGAUUAAACUGAGCGGAGGAUGUACAGAAUGUGUCGGUGUGUGUCGGAGCCUGGCUGGCCGCUCGGCGCCUUCAGACAAAGCUCAAGCUAACAGGCUAACGGCUUAUUAUCUGCUAAGAUUUGAUCUGUGAGCGCAUUAAUCUGCUCGGUGUGUGUCUUAUAACAAACAUAGCGAGCAGCCGCCGGACUCUUAACAUCUGUUGAUCUGUGCAGGACUUCACUGUAACUGGACUGUUUAGAGACCAUGUGACCGGCAUGUAACUUUAAAGGUUAUCUGCUACUGUAGCAGAGCUGCAGGUAUUCAUGCACGACUGUUAUUGGUGAUUUACAGAGAUGGAAGACUUACUCAGAUCAUGUAUUGCAAUAAAAGUAGAAAAAACAGUGUUGUAGAGUUACAAAUUACUUUAAUAGUACAAAAGUAUUAUCAAAAUAUACUUAAGUACCAAAAGUAAAAGUGCCUAUUAUGCAGUGUAAUAUAUCUUAUUUUAUUGGAUUAUAUUAUGAUCCAAUAAAUUGUAUUAAAUAUGACUGAUAAUUUAAAUAAAAU